rnacentral:rRNA from 1 species
GACGAACGCUGGCGGCGUGCUUAACACAUGCAAGUCGAACGGAAAGGCCCUGCUUUUGUGGGGUGCUCGAGUGGCGAACGGGUGAGUAACACGUGAGUAACCUGCCCUUGACUUUGGGAUAACUUCAGGAAACUGGGGCUAAUACCGGAUAGGAGCUCCUGCUGCAUGGUGGGGGUUGGAAAGUUUCGGCGGUUGGGGAUGGACUCGCAGCUUAUCAGCUUGUUGGUGGGGUAGUGGCUUACCAAGGCUUCGACGGGUAGCCGGCCUGAGAGGGUGACCGGCCACAUUGGGACUGAGAGACGGCCCAGACUCCUACGGGAGGCAGCAGUGGGGAAUAUUGCACAAUGGGCGGAAGCCUGAUGCAGAAACGCCGCGUGCGGGAUGACGGCCUUCGGGUUGUAAACCGCUUUCGCCUGUGACGAAGCGUGAGUGACGGUAAUGGGUAAAGAAGCACCGGCUAACUACGUG